GAUUACAUGCCAUACACGGGUGGAUCUUGUUCAGUUGCGGCCACUCAUGAAAGAAUGGUAAAAAAACAUUUCUUUCAUAUAUUUUACAUUUAUCAUUCUAAUUUUUUUGAGUAUAACAAUCAGAAUGAAGAAGCUGGUUAUGAAGUCGGUCACUGUGAGGUUUAUAAGAAAACACAUAGUUUGGCUAAGACAAACGACUGAGCCCAUCCAAAGGGAGGAUGCUUCAUUGUAAGAAAAUUCGUUAGAAAUGCUUCGUUUUAAGAUAUUUAAGUCAUAUUUUUUAUUUAUUAUUGAUUUUCAUUUUUAUAGGCUGACUAUAAUGAGCUUCAAAGAAAUGCUAUGAAAGCAGAAAAUUCUGAGAUCAACUCAUCUAAUGGAUCACACACACUCCCUGAUAAUUUAGAAUUAUGGGUCAAAGCUACUAACGGAAAAAACAAAGGUCGUGUGCUUGGAACCAGAGCAAGUGAUCCAAUGUCAUUACCAAUUCCUGAUAAUAUGGCGACUUCACAGAACACAACGACGAAUUAUAUAGAAAUUCAACAACAAAAAAGUAAAGAAGACUUUGAUCGGGCAGUUCAAGAGGCCAUUAGAAAACAGAUGUCGGAUAUACUAAAGGAACUAAGGGAAGACUUACGUCGAGAGACGAUUGAGGUAAUUAGCAUUUAUAUAUAAAUCAAUAUUUAUAUUUUCUUUCUAAUUUCAAUUUUUUUUUACAUAAGGGUCAGUCGAGCCAAGGACACGACAACAUAAUCAC
rnacentral:lncRNA from 1 species